AGAGCUGGGCGGGUUAAGGAGGAGGAUGGCGCCGUCCUGCAGAUGUGCGGGGACGCGCGCCCGCCGCAACGUGAGGCUCAUAGGCCACACGCAACUCUGAGCAUUGGCCAGGACCUGUAGUAGCCAACAGGACACUUAAUAACUGAUGUAUAGGUGCGCACUGUGUGUCCAGAGCUUUACGUUAACCACCUCACUGUGUCAUCUCGCUGAGGUUGUGUGGUUUACUAUUACUGCUAUUAGCGCAUUUUUAAGCGGGAAACCUGAGGCAUGAGGAGGGUCAGUCCUCGACCUUGUCCCCCCAAAUUGCUUCGUCUCUGAAUCCAGACUCUGAAGUUCGGCUCUGCCUACCACCUUAAGUUAUCCGAUGUGGCCUUACCGUCAGCCUAGUCUUUGACUACAGGAAGACCUCUCUUCCUGAAGAAGACGCCUCUUUUCAUCCAUUCACUCUGGAAAUGAUUCAACGUCUGCCUGCUGCUGAUGCUUUACUCUCCACCAGGGGUUUUCGAAGUGUGCUUCCCCAUUCCCCCUGGGCCUAUAGCAUCAGCAUCAGGGAACUUGUCAGUAACGCACAUUCUUGGGCCCCAACCCAGAACUACUGAAUCAGAAACUUGGGGUGAGGGCCUGUCGUGGUGGCUCAUGCCUGUAAUCCCAACACUUUGGGAAGCAGAGGAGGGUGGAUCACCUGAGGUCAGGAGUUGAGGACCAGCCUGGCUAACAUGGUGAAACCCCGUCUCUACUAAAAAUAGAAAAAUUAGCCAGAUGUGGUGGCGUGUGCCCAUAAUCCUAGCUACUCGGGAGACUGAGGCAGGAGACUCGCUUGAACCCAAGAGGCGGAGGUUGCAGUGAGCCAAGAUUGCACCACUGCACUCUAGCCUGGGCGACAGAGUGAGACUCCGUCUCAAAAAAAAAAAAAGAACUCAGGGUGAGGCCCAGCCGGCUGUGGUUUUAUGAGCUUUUCAGGGGAUACUGAUGCGGGAUCAAAUUUGAGAAGCACUGGUCUAGGUCUUAGAUCCUCUUGCUUCAGUUUCGUCAUUGGAUCUCAGGAAUGUUCAGCUGCCCUCUCAAGGCAACUUCUUACUUCACUUGACCUUCCAAGACCUCUCGUUCUGUCAAACCCCAAUUUUGGAUCAACCCAGGCAUGCUUCCCUCAUGUGUUCCAAAGCUGGUCAGAGUAGUCUACACCACUAUCUGCUUCAACUUCUAGUAACGUCUAAGCCUUCAGCAGUUUUGCUUAUGAAACUGCUUCACUGAAGUUCUCCACCACCAAGUAGUCAGCUGGCAUCGGAAUUCGGCUUGUGUCAAAUGGAACUCAACAUCUUCCUCUUCAGGACAUCCCCUAUUUUCAUCCUCCCAGUGAAUGACACCACCAAGUUAAAGCCUGGAGGCUGGGUGUAGUGGUUCAUGCCUGUAAUCCCAGUAGUUUAGGAAACCGAGGUGGGCAGAUGGCUUGCGCCCAGGUGUUUGAGAGCAGCCUGGCCAACAUGGCGAAACCCUGUCUCUACAAAAAAGUACUGCCAGGCGCGGUGGCUUACGCCUGUAAUCCCAGCACUUUGGGAGGCUAAGCAGGCAGAUCACCUCAGGUCAGGAGUUCAAGACCAGGCUGGGCCAACAUGGCAAAACCCCAUCUCUACUAAAAAUACAAAAAUUAGCCUGGUGUGGUGGCAUGUGUCUAGUCCCAGCUACUCGAGAGGCUGAGGCAGGGGAACUGCUUGAACCCAGGAGGCGGGGGUUGCACUGAACCUGUUGCGCCACUGCAUUCCAGCCUGGGUGGCAGAGCAAGACUCUUAUCUCAAAAACAACCAAACACAAAACAAAAAUUAGCUGGGUCUGGUGACAUGUGCUUAUAGUCCCAGCUACUUGGGGGGCUGAGGCAGGAGGAUUGCUUGAGCCUGGGAGGUUGAGGCUGCAGCAAUGAGCUGUGUUUGUGCCACUGCACUCUAGCCUGGACAACAAAAUGAGACCUUGUCUCAAAAAGAAAAAAAAAAAGCAGGGUGCAGUGGCUGACGCCUGUAAUCCCAGCACUUUGGGAGGCCGAGGCGGGCGGAUCAGAAGGUCAGGAGAUCGAGACCAUCCUGGCUAACAAGGUGAAACCCUAUCUUUACUAAAAAUACAAAAACUUAGUCGGGUGUGGUGGCACGCACCUGUAGUACCAACUACUCAGGAGGCUUAGGCUGGAGAAUCGCUUGAACCCAGGAGGUGGAGGUUGCAGUGAGCCGAGAUUGCGCCACUGCACUCCAGCCUGCCAGCCUGGGCAACAGAGCGAGAUUCUGUCUCAAAAAACAAAAACAAAAAAACCCAGAAUAACUCACCCCAAACUUCCAGGUUUUUUUUUUUUUUGAGACGGAGUCUUGCUGUCGCCCAGGCUGGAGUGCAGUGGUUAGAUCUCAGCUCACUGCAACCUCCGCUUCCUGGGUUCAAGUGAUUCUUCUGUCUCAGCCUCCUGAGUAGCUGGGAUUACAGGUGUGCGCCACCAUGCCUGGCUAAAUUUUGUAUUUUUAGUAGAGAUAGGGUUUCACCAUGUUGGUCAGGCUGGUCUCAAACUCCUGACCUCAGGUGAUCCACCCGCCUCGGCCUCCCAAAGUGCCAGGAUUACAGGCGUAAAACUCCCAUGCUGGGCUGGUCAAAGUGCUGGGAUUACAGGCAUAAGACAACGCACCUGGAACUUGGCUUGUGUCAAAUGGAACUCAACAUCUUCCCUUUUACUAAACCCCACCCAACAUUCACUGCGCACAAGUUGUCUUAUUCACUGGACUUCUAAUAUGUUUAAGGGGUCUGUCCCCAUUUAUUUUUUGAAACGGGGUCUUUCUGUGUUGCCCAGGCUGGAGUGCAGUGGUUGUUCACAGGUGCCAACCUACUAUUGAUCAGCAUGGGAGCUUUGGGGUUUUAAAACAAAUUUUUUAAGCCAGUCAUAUUUAGCAGUGGGGGGUUGUAUACCAACUUUAGUGACACUAAUGUUAUUAAAUUCUAAUAACCCACUACCAUCAGACCAGCCCAGCUUGGGAGUUUUGACCUGCUCCAUUUCCGACCUGGGCUGUUUCACCCCUCCAUAGACAACCUGGAUAGUCCCCUGUCCUGGGAGGUCACCAUGUUGAAGCUGAACUUAGUGUGGACACCCAAACUGCAUAAUGCAUUACAGUCUAGAACUCCUGGGCUCAAGGGAUCCUCCCACCUCAGCCUCCUGAGUAGCUAGGACCACAGGGUGCACCACCGCGCCCAGCUGUCUUCCUUUUUUUUUCUGAGACCGAGCCUCACUCAGCUGUCCAAGCUAGAGUGCAGUGGUGUGAUCUCCAUUCACUGCAACCACUGUCUCCCUGGUUCAAGCGAUUCUCCUGUCUCAGCCUCCUGAGUAGCUGGGAUUACAGGAACCUACCAUCAUGCCCGGCUAAUUUUUGUAUUUUAGUAGAGAUGGGGUUUUACUAUGUUGGCCAAGCUAGUCUUGAACUCCCGACCUCAGGUGAUCUGCCCACCUUGGCCUCCCAAAGUGCUAGGAUUAUAGGCAUGAGCCACCACGCCCAGCCCCCUACCCUUAAAAAAAUUAUAUAUAUAUAUAAUAGAGACAGGGUUGCGCUAUGUUGCCCAGGCUGGUCUUGAACUCCUGGGCUCAAGGGAUCCUCCUGCCUUGGCCUCAAAAGUGCUGGAAUUACAGGCAUGGGCCACUGCACCCAGCCUAUCUUACAUUUUUUUUAAACUCAGAGCAUACCUCAUUUCAAUUUUCCUCCUCUCUUGCUUGGGUUCAUGUAAAAUCUUUCUAACUGGUUUCCAAGUGUCUGCUCUAUUAUGCUCCGUAUAUCCUCCAUACUCUAGUCUGCUCCUACGAACUUCAGCAUCUUCGGCCCCUCUGCCUGGAAUUUACAUCUUUCCAAUCCUGCCUCACAAAUUUUCUAUUAUAUAAGGCUCCGAAAUAUGAACUAGAAGUAAUUUCCGUGAAGCUGAUGACUUUAUCUGGCAUAUGGUAAGCUCUGAAUCAAUGUUUAUUGAAAGAAUGAAAUGUCACCCCUUUGUGAAGCCUUCCAGAGUUGUCCCUGAAGAAUUAAUUUCUCAACUCCA
rnacentral:lncRNA from 1 species